rnacentral:rRNA from 1 species
UACGUAGGGUGCGAGCGUUAAUCGGAAUUACUGGGCGUAAAGUGUGCGCAGGCGGCAGAGCAAGUCGAGUGUGAAAGCCCCGGGCUUAACUUGGGAAUUGCGCUCGAAACUACUUUGCUGGAGUGUGGCAGAGGGGGGUGGAAUUCCGCGUGUAGCAGUGAAAUGCGUAGAGAUGCGGAGGAACACCGAUGGCGAAGGCAGCCCCCUGGGCCAAUACUGACGCUCAGGCACGAAAGCGUGGGGAGCAAACAGG